rnacentral:rRNA from 1 species
GUGAGGAAUAUUGGACAAUGGAUGGAAAUCUGAUCCAGCCAUGCCGCGUGCAGGAAGACGGCCCUAUGGGUUGUAAACUGCUUUUAUACGGGAGCAAUAAGGUCUAUGCAUAGAUUGAUGAGAGUACCGUAUGAAUAAGCAUCGGCUAACUCCGUGCCAGCAGCCGCGGUAAUACGGAGGAUGCGAGCGUUAUCCGGAUUUAUUGGGUUUAAAGGGUGCGUAGGCGGCUUUGUAAGUCAGCGGUGAAAUUUUGCAGCUUAACUGUAAAAGCGCCGUUGAUACUGUGAAGCUAGGAUUUGGGUGCUGUGGGCGGAAUGUGUGGUGUAGCGGUGAAAUGCAUAGAGAUCACACAGAAUAUCGAUUGCGAAGGCAGCUCACAAAGCCAAUAUUGACGCUGAGGCACGAAAGUGUGGGGAUCAAACAGGAUUAGAAACCCCGGUAGUCC